rnacentral:rRNA from 1 species
UGGGGAAUAUUGCACAAUGGGCGCAAGCCUGAUGCAGCCAUGCCGCGUGUGUGAAGAAGGCCUUCGGGUUGUAAAGCACUUUCAGCGAGGAGGAAGGUGGUGGACUUAAUACGUUCAUCAAUUGACGUUACUCGCAGAAGAAGCACCGGCUAACUCCGUGCCAGCAGCCGCGGUAAUACGGAGGGUGCAAGCGUUAAUCGGAAUUACUGGGCGUAAAGCGCACGCAGGCGGUUUGUUAAGUCAGAUGUGAAAUCCCCCGGGCUCAACCUGGGAACUGCAUUUGAAACUGGCAAGCUAGAGUCUCGUAGAGGGGGGAUAGAAUUCCAGGUGUAGCGGUGAAAUGCGUAGAGAUCUGGAGGAAUACCGGUGGCGAAGGCGGCCCCCCUGGACGAAGACUGACGCUCA